rnacentral:rRNA from 1 species
CACGUAGGCACCAAGCGUUGUCCGGAUUUAUUGGGCGUAAAGAGCUCGUAGGCGGUUCAGUAAGUCGGGUGUGAAAACUUUGGGCUCAACCCAAAGCCUGCAUCCGAUACUGCUGUGACUUGAGUUCGGUAGGGGAGUGGGGAAUUCCUGGUGUAGCGGUGAAAUGCGCAGAUAUCAGGAGGAACACCGAUGGCGAAGGCAGGUCUCUGGGCCGAUACUGACGCUGAGGAGCGAAAGCGUGGGGAGCGAACAGG